CGUGUUUUAGUUUAUAUUGCAGGAAAUGUUAAGUGACAAUAUACAUAGACUGGCAAGUAUCAUGUAACAGUAUCUAUUUCUAAAUUUACAAUAAGCAGUUGUGAGAGGACCGUUGGAUAUCACUCUACUGUGAAUAGAAAGGAAAUAAUAAGUCAGUAUGAUCAACAUAAAAUUUCUUAAAAUAGACCAUGAUAAAGAAAACAACCUAUUAAUUAUUUUGUAUGAAGGCAUCAUCUGUAAACAGAGAAAUAUCGAUAUUAUUGAGUGUUUUCUUAUGUGGUGCUGUACCAUUACUGAUCCAGGUAUUCAAAAUGGUUUGAUCAAAAUGUGAGAUCGAUUUAUUUAUUCGAAAUAUCAAAAGUGUUUUAG